AAGCCCAAAAUCUGAUCUCAAACUCGCACAAAAGCACUUCUCCCUUCUUCUCCUCUCUCUCCCGUUUUCGUUCUCGACUUUCAAGUUCUUCCCCCCGCUAACUUCUCUAUCUCGUCUCCAAAUCCCUAAACCCAUCAAUCCCUUUCGUCUCCAAUUUCUAUCGCUCCUCUUCGUCCCCUGCAUGCUUCAAUUUCUAAUUUUGUAAUCCCCAAUCUCAUCCACACAUGAUCGAGGCUGCGCCGACCUUAAUGUUAGUCUUUACUGCUUUGUCUGAUUAGUUCUGUAUUGGGUUUUAGAUCCGAGCCUCUGUACGGAUUCAAUUUCGUCAAAGUUUGCUCCCUCUUGAUUUGAAGUUUUGAAAUUGGGGAAGCUGAUUUGAUUUUAGGGGUUUAGGGUUAGGGUUAGGGUUUUUGCGAUUGAGAAUUCGAUUGCGAUUAAAGGCUCCCUCUUGGUGCUUUUCGGCUUAUAUGGCGGCUGGAAGACACGGCGGCUAUCGCGACAACGAGUUCAGGGAGCGAGAAUCAAGCUUCGAAUUGCAGAGAACUGCUAAUGGGAAUGGCGACCGGGUUCGGGAUUUGAGAGACAAAAUCAGGGCUAGGUCCAAGGAGGAGCCUUUGGCUAAUGGUGGUGGAAAUCGCUCCUCUUCGAGUAGGAGUGACUCCGGCGGCGGCCGUGGGGUUAAGCUUUCCGCUAAGGCAGUGGACAGGGAGCCUGGUGAGCUGUCGAGUGAGAGCGGGUCUGAUGAUGCGUCGCAGCCGGUCAGGGAGGUUGAGGUGAUGAAGGUGGUGGAGAAUGGGACGCAGAGUCCCAAGGAGAGGAAGAGGAAGUUUACUCCGAUAGUGUGGGAUAGAGAUGAUAAUGCAGGAACUAAUUCGUCCAGGACUAGGAUUACGACAGUGACAACAGCUCCUCCGCCUCCACCGCCCCUCCCUAGGGCGUCUAGGCAGUCUCCUAAUGCUAGUUCAGAUAGCAGGAUGCAAGUGUCUUUGGUUAAAUUGGAUGGAGCUGAUAAUGUAGCUUACUCCCCUGUUGAGGGUGUUAGCAAUGGUGUGUAUGAGUCCCCGGUGGAGUUGUCUUCACCGGAUCAGCAGUUAGGGGAUGUUCGAGAAGCAGGGAACUUAGAUGAUGAAGAUUAUGUUCCGACACGGAAUAUAUCAUCUUCAAGAUGGGCAGCAGGAAAUAGUUCUCCUGGUGAUGAAGGUGGAGUUUCGGAGAACGAGGAGAUGCCUAAAAGGAGGAGGAAAACGCCACGUUUAGGAUCGCCGGAAAACAGAGGACGCAACAGCUCAUUGACUCCAGAGGUAGGGGAGCUUAAGAGAGAUGGAUCUGAAAGAGGUAGGGCGAGAUCAUCUGAGUCUGAUGAACGAGAUGUGUUUGGAAGGUCCGGUGGGGAUGACUAUCCUGAGAAUGACUCAGAGAGGGAUGACUACAUGGAUGUUGACAGGGAUCGUGGUGAUAUUGAUAGCGUUGGUCGUUACGAUACUAGUUCAGAGGAUGAGCCUGAUCCUCCUGAGGCACCUGAACCUGCAGCUCCUCCACAACGAAUGGUAAACAUGCUUCAGGGUUGUAGAAGUGUUGAUGAGUUUGAGAGACUAAACAAAAUAGACGAGGGCACUUAUGGUGUUGUAUAUAGGGCCCAAGAUAAGAUAACUGGUGAAAUUGUGGCGUUGAAGAAGGUAAAGAUGGAGAAGGAAAGAGAAGGAUUUCCAUUAACUUCUCUGAGGGAAAUAAACAUUCUUCUCUCUUUUCAUCAUCCAUCAAUUGUUGAUGUGAAGGAAGUAGUGGUGGGCAGUAAUCUUGAUAGCAUUUUUAUGGUGAUGGAAUACAUGGAGCAUGAUCUUAAAGCACUCAUGGAGACAAUGAAGCAGCCAUUUAGUCCGAGUGAAGUGAAAUGUCUUAUGCUCCAGCUAUUGGAAGGUGUCAAAUAUCUUCAUGAUAAUUGGGUGCUACAUCGGGAUUUGAAAACAUCUAACUUGCUUUUGAAUAAUCGGGGUGAGCUGAAGAUCUGUGACUUUGGGUUGGCUCGUCAAUAUGGGAGUCCUUUGAAACCAUAUACUCAUUUGGUGGUUACUCUUUGGUACAGGGCGCCUGAACUCCUCUUGGGUGCAAGAGAAUAUUCAACAGCAAUCGAUAUGUGGUCACUAGGCUGUAUCAUGGCUGAGCUGUUGUCAAAGGAGCCGCUUUUCAAUGGGAAAACUGAAGUUGAACAACUUGACAAAAUUUUCAAGAUACUUGGCACACCAAAUGAGACUAUUUGGCCUGGGUUUUCCAAGCUUCCUGGAGUGAGGGUCAACUUUGUUAAUCAUCAGUAUAACCUUCUGCGCAGGAAGUUCCCGGCUACUUCUUUUACUGGAUCUCCAGUUCUUACUGAAGCUGGAUUUGAUUUGUUGAAUAAGCUUCUAACUUAUGACCCUGAGAAGAGAAUUUCUGCUGAUGAUGCUCUGAAUCAUGAGUGGUUUCGUGAAGUCCCUCUUCCCAAGACGAAAGAUUUCAUGCCGACGUUUCCUGCUCAACAUGCUCAAGACAGGCGCACAAGGAGAAUGUUGAGAAGUCCUGAUCCAUUGGAAGAGCAACGGAGAAAGGAGUUGCAAGGGAUUAUUGGAACUGGGGGUGUGUUUGGCUAGGAAAAUCAGAUCAGUGGUCUUGAUACAUAAAGGAGGAUGGCUGAGGUGAGAGGCAUGCAUUGAACAGAAGUGGCAACAUUCUAUUUCAGGACGGUCAUUUCUGCUCUUUUUCUAGCAGGCACUUACCUAUGAUUUGGGUUGGAGAAUUGUAUUUUUUUAGCCUCCUGUCAACCAGAAUUGUUGCAGAGACGGUUGGUGUGAAGUGGAGGGGAGUUCUUUGCUUUUCCAUGACGAAGAAUAUUGACAGUUAAGCAUGUAAUUUUAAAGUAUCAAAGCAAGCAGGUGAGGAGGUUUCCUGCACUUUCAGGAACUUGUAGAACUUCAAUUAGUUGUUCCACAGGCUCACUAGAGAAGAACUUUAAGAAAUACGCUUAAAAGGCAAAAAGAUUCCGGUCUCUGUUCCUGGACAAAGGCUCUUAACAUUAACAAAAUGUCAG